rnacentral:tRNA from 1 species
AAAAAGAUAAGCUAAAUUAAAGCUAUUAGGUUCAUACCCUAAGUAUAGAAUCAAACUCUUCUUUUUA